AGAGUUUGAUCAUGGCUCAGGAUGAACGCUAGCGGCAGGCUUAAUACAUGCAAGUCAAGGGGUCAGCAAUGGCACCGGCGGACGGGUGAGUAACGCGUACACAACGUACCUUUAACUGGGGGAUAGCAUCUGGAAACGGGUGGUAAUACCGCAUGUGGUUGCGAGGAGGCAUCUCUUUGUAACUAAAACUUAGGUGGUUAGAGAUCGGUGUGCGUCUGAUUAGCUAGUUGGUAGGGUAGAGGCCUACCAAGGCGACGAUCAGUAGGGGGCGUGAGAGCGUGGCCCCCACACGGGUACUGAGACACGGACCCGACUCCUACGGGAGGCAGCAGUAAGGAAUAUUGGUCAAUGGAGGGAACUCUGAACCAGCCAUGCCGCGUGAAGGAUGACGGCCCUCUGGGUUGUAAACUUCUUUUGGAUGGGGCGAAAAACGGGAUUUAUCCUGGACUGACGGUACCAUCAGAAUAAGCACCGGCUAACUCCGUG
rnacentral:rRNA from 1 species